AGUUCCCUGGAACGUUUACUUUGAAGGGCGUACCGGAUGUGAUCUGAUGUGUAGUUUCCGUCUUGGCUGGGAGGAAAAGGCGUAGCUAGUAAACAUCACAGAGAGCUAAAAAAAAGACAAACACACACAGCGGACAUUAGAGCCGGAAAACACCGACGCAUUAAGUUCCCUCUUCGGUUCGUAGAAAGCCCACCGGUGUCGUCCGCAGUCCUGUAACCGUCCGUGGUUGUCACAGCGACUGACAGCGUCUCAGAAAAAAGAAAAGACCAUCGGGGCGUUAGCCAGCUAGCUAGCUAGCAUAGCCACCUAGCCGCAGCAGCACUAGCCGCAGCUAGCAUUAGCAUAAAAACGACAAAGAUGAUAGCGCUAAUCAACAAACUGUUGGACUGGUUCAAGGCGCUCUUCUGGAAAGAAGAGAUGGAGCUGACCCUGGUGGGGCUGCAGUACUCCGGGAAGACGACCUUCGUCAAUGUGAUAGCGUCCGGCCAGUUCAGCGAAGAUAUGAUUCCUACAGUCGGGUUCAACAUGAGGAAGAUCACCAAAGGCAACGUUACCAUCAAGCUGUGGGACAUCGGCGGUCAGCCUCGGUUCAGGAGCAUGUGGGAGCGUUACUGUCGAGGAGUCAGCGCCAUCGUCUACAUGGUGGACGCAGCAGACCCGGAGAAGAUCGAAGCCUCCAAGAACGAACUCCACAACCUGCUGGACAAGCCGCAGCUGCAGGGAAUUCCUGUUUUGGUUCUGGGCAACAAGAGGGACCUACCAGGAGCCCUGGAUGAGAAGGAGCUGAUAGAGAGGAUGAACCUGUCGGCCAUCCAGGACAGAGAGAUCUGCUGCUACUCCAUCUCCUGCAAGGAGAAAGACAAUAUCGGAGAAAAGCCUGUGAUUCUGUCUCUAGUGAUCAUGAAGUAAUACAUUCUGGCUGUGACUUGGCUGAGGGCGACGUUGGACCCCGACCAAUCAUAGCUCACCUUCUGAGACGUACACAGUGGGCAAAACCUUUUCUUUCACUGUGUGUGCAGAGCUACUUUUAUACCCACCAACAAAGAAGAAGCAGGCCUCAGUGUUUCCUGUCUGCAGCACAAGUUUGACCUGGGCGGAGCCUGGCGAGUCUUGAGUCGUGGUUGGCUGACACUCCUGACAGCAGCAGCAGCAGCAGUCCAUGAAGGCCUGACCGAGAGCCUGAAACACGACGACGUGCAGACUCCAUUGACGUUUGCCUGGUGUUUCUGGACUUCCUCUGACCUACCUUACACAGACACAGCAGCAGCACCGGCGUCACCGAUGACUUGAAGAACAAGAGGAAGUGAUGCAACAGUGCCAGCAUGGCGGCCGUGUCCUCAGAGAUGUCGAUGUGCGUGUAGGCCAACGUGAUGUUGCACACGUGUUCGGGCAGAGCGCAGACGCCGUAGACCACGGCCAGCGCUAACAGUGUGCAGUUCAGCUGCCGCUCCACCGCCUGGUGCUGCUGGCGUUUCUGAUUGGAGGAGCGGUCGUCAUGGGUACGCUGCUUCUGGGCAGAGUUGGAGUCGCUGUUGACGUUGCGGGUGGCCAUUUGGCAGAGGAUGGUGAAGAGGAUGGGGAGGCAGAAGUAGCAGCCGAAACACCACCACAUGCGACCCUGAAACAAGAGUAAUCUGAUUAUUUUACGUGGGGAUACUUUUGUUGUUUGUAAUAGUCAUAUUAUGGUACUUUCUGAUUCUGUGCAGUACUUUGCUAUAUUUAUCGAGCAUGGAGUAAUUUGUUCUACAGUUGAACCACCAAAUUCUAUCUCUCAUCAGGCAAGUUUAUCCAGAUUAAUUAAACCAGGAGGUCAAAGUGAGAGUGAGUGCACCUGAAAUGUCACGCCAAAGCUGAGCCAGGAAGUGGAUCUGUGAAUUGGCAGAGACGUAGGUUUGUUUAAAACAAGAUUUGUUUGAGGACAGUUUGAGGAUUCGAUUUGUUUGGUUACCUUUCCUCUGGUACUUUGAACCUUAGUGCUUCGCCUUUACAUCACGACUCUCGAUCGGUAUCUGUCUGCAUGCCUGGGGGCCUGCCUAUCCUCCCCCGUUUCUCAAGUGGGGGUAGAUUGGGCUCAGAGGAGGGGGUGCCAGCUUUACCAGGGGCAACGCUGUUGCUGAAGGGCCUAACAUUUUACCGUGGAAAACCAGAUGCACCUGCCUCUCUGGGUGGAGGAGCCUGUCACGGGGCUUGGCGGUUCAGAUGGCCAACUACAAGGGCCGGAACUGUGGACUGAGGUCAGUGCCUGGUUCCAUUUCAGUAGGUCCUUAUUAAACUGGCCUCAAAAAAGACCACGCAUGGACACCAGAACGACAAAGCUGGCAGAGGCAACACCACCAUUCAUAAUCACGUUCAGUAAAAGGCAAUAAAAGAAGGUAGAGUUA